ensembl:snRNA U6 U6 spliceosomal RNA
AUGUAUAUGCUCACUUUGGCAGCAAAAUUGGAAGAAUAUAGAGAAGAUCAGCACAGUCCCUGCAUAAAAAUAGCAUGCAAAUUUAUGAAGCAUUCCAUAUUUUA